GCCAGUGUGGCUCAGUGGGUAGAGCGUCGGCCUGCGGACCCAAGGGUCCCGGGUUCGAUUCCGGUCAAGGGCA
rnacentral:tRNA from 1 species